CCUCAUAUGAUCCGUCCCAUCUUUGCCGAAAAAACAAUGGAAAAUAAAACUGAAAAGCAAACACUAUGCAGCAAAAUUAAAGAAGCAGAAUCAGUCCGGUCUGGCCCCUUAAACCCUUCUUACAUGCAGAGAAGCAGAGGCGACUCGGAGGGUUGAAGAACCGGGAGGCCACCUUAUCGCGUGCCCACUCAUGGCAGCAACAGCGGUAGCAGAAGCUGAGAGCAUGUGAACUUUGCGAGGGCUUGGCUGCAAUUUGGAAAUGGCUUCCGUCUUCCCUUCGUCUCCAUCUCUCGAUAGUCUCUUUAAAUCGUAUCGUGGGAAUCGUUCUCCUCCCAAUCCUCCUGGGCAAUUCAGGCUGGGUUGUCCACGGUAUAGCAAAGGAUAUAAAAACUUCAGAAUUGAACAAAUGAGUGUGGUUCAUAAUGGUAGGCAUCCUCUUUUGUGUGCAAUGGGAAUGGCUGCAAGACACUCGGGCGAUCCUGAAAGAGUGAGUUUUCAUCAUCUAUUAGAUAAGGGGAAGAAGUUGUGGGACAAUUCACCAGAGCCAGUCAAGAGGUUCCCUUGGAUCCGAGCUUUGGAGAAUUUCAUUCAACUCAUUCUUGAUGUUGUCUUGGCAGUAUGCAAGUUCUUGUGUGUACCCUUAUUGGCUGUAUCUUCCCUAAGCGAGAUGUCCUAUUGUGCUCAUGAAAAGAAGCUGCGACUUGUGCCUUUGCCCAUUCUCUUUGGCAUUGCUUUUGCUGGGGUGUUAAAUGGCACGGCACUGGAAUUAUCUCCACUGCUUAAGCAGGAUGCAGAAGUGCCAUGGCAUCUGAUUGCCAUUGCUGUUUUCUUUACGAUGCUGAAACUGCCAGGACCUUAUUACCCUUACUGGGGUCGCAUACUGAUUCCUCACUUUGCAAAUGGGGGGCUAUUGAGAAUUUUGUGGUAUGCAUUUUUGUGGAAUAGAAGGCCCCAGAAGGGACUGGUCUAAAUUUUCUGAAUGGUGGCCUGCGGUUUUCAGAGGUAUGGAAGUCAUUCUUCUUAUCUUCUGCAAUGAUGGUCUCACCGCCUAAUUGUCCGUCCACCUUGGGUUGUGGCAGGUUAUAACCGCUACAAGGAAAAUGACUAUUAAUGUCAUUAUCGUAAGCAUCGGCACAUCAGUGGCAGCCGCUGCAUGGAAGCUGAAUGGAGGUGCAGGAGCAUGGCUUGCCGCAUAGCUGCUAAAUCAACCGAUUUUGCCAUUAUUUGGGUUUACUCCCCAUUUUUAUGGUUGAAUACUUCUCUCCUUAGGGGGAAUCAUACAGAAAUUAUAGUCUCUAGUUAUGCUUCCACAGGAACCGUAGAGUUCGGAUUUGUGCGGUUCUUUUAUAUUUCUUCCUCCGUGAUUUUGCCCCCCUCAAGCCCAGUUCUUUUUCAUAUCUCGUGGUGCCAAACCAAAAAAAAAAAAAAAUCUAACCGUCUAAAGAUUGCAGUUCCUUACUACCCUUAAACGAAUCGUCGAUUGCCAUC